GGCCUUAAUCGCAUUCAUUACCAAAAAGCCCUCAUGGCCUGAUCACCUCCUAAAAACUCUGUUUCAGAAUACGAUCGCAUUGGGAUUAAGUUUCAGCUUGAAAUUUAGUGGGGAUCCAAACAUCCCAACCACAGCAGCCCACAUUGCCCUUGAUGGAAGAGAGAAACUAAGAGCCCUUUGGAGGGCCUUGUGGGCAGCACGUGCAGCUGUGGAAGGAGAGGCGGGGAAGAGGCAGUGGCUGGCACACCUCUUUUCCUUGACUCUGCCCUCCAGUGCCCUGGGACUUCUCCCAGCCAGGCCUGACUGCAACCAGCUGAGCACCCUGCAUCUGGAGAGACGGCCCCUCCUGGUGCCUCUGAAGACCUCAGUGGAAGGAGGAUCAGAGGCAAGUGCUAGGGCUGGGAUUGAAGCUGCUUCAGGAAGUGAGACGCCUCCUGCAAAGUUCCUUUUUGACAGGAGCUUGACAUGCCACGUCAUACCAUCUGUGGCUGCCACUUGGCUCUCGGGUCUGCUCAGUCUAUUUCUUUCCUGUCUAGAAUUCCUCCUUGCAGGACUUCCUGUGAGUGCAAACUUAUCUAGGAUCUGGCCUGGCGGGCUCAUAGAAUCUAGUACAGAUUUUCUCCUCCAAUUCAUCUGUUUGUCUCCAACGUCGCCCUCUUCAGCCACCAUGAUUUCUCCCUUCUGGAUCACCGUGACUGCUCUUGAUUGGUCUAAGUGCCUCCCUUUGCUCCUCCUCCCUACCACGAAGAAUGCACGCCCUCAGUCUGACGGUGACCCUCCCAUGCCCUCAGCCUCAUGCUGCCAGCCCUCUGUCCUCCGCUGGGCAGCAAGGCCCUUCCAAGCUGGCUUUUCCUCGCCAGCCUUCCUCCUCAUCACCUCGUCUUCCCGUUCCUCCUCCCCCCACACAGCUUAGCCUUUCUCCAGUUGAUUUUCCUGCACCCAGUAUAGACUUGGUUUCAGGUGUUAGGCCCAAUGUCACCUCCUGUGGGAUGACUUUUCUGACCCCUCAGGCUGGACCAAGCAUGCCUUGCAGUGGCCUCGGCUUUGCACAGGUUCCAU
rnacentral:lncRNA from 1 species